GAACUUAAGCAUAUCAAUAAGCGGAGGAAAAGAAACUAACAAGGAUUCCCCUAGUAACUGCGAGUGAAGCGGGAAAAGCUCAAAUUUAAAAUCUGGCGGUCCCUGUGGCCGUCCGAGUUGUAAUUUAGAGAAGCGUUAUCCGCGCUGGACCGUGUACAAGUCUCCUGGAAUGGAGCGUCAUAGAGGGUGAGAAUCCCGUCUUUGACACGGACUGCCAGGGCAUUGUGAUGCGCUCUCGAAGAGUCGAGUUGUUUGGGAAUGCAGCUCAAAAUGGGUGGUAAAUUCCAUCUAAAGCUAAAUAUUGGGGAGAGACCGAUAGCGAACAAGUACCGUGAGGGAAAGAUGAAAAGAACUUUGGAAAGAGAGUUAAACAGUACGUGAAAUUGCUGAAAGGGAAACGCUUGAAGUCAGUCGCGUCGCUCAGGACUCAGCCUUGCUUUUUUGCUUGGUGUACUUCCUGUUCGACGGGUCAGCAUCAAUUUUGGUCGGUAGAUAAAGGCUCAGAGAAUGUGGCAUCUUCGGGUGUGUUAUAGCUCUGGGUCGCAUGCAUCGGCUGGGAUUGAGGAACUCAGCACGCCGCAAGGCCGGGCACUUGUGCCACGUACGUGCUUAGGAUGCUGGCAUAAUGGCUUUAAUCGACCCGUCUUGAAACACGGACCAAGGAGUCUAACAUGCCUGCGAGUGUUUGGGUGGUAAACCCGAGCGCGUAAUGAAAGUGAAAGUUGAGAUCCCUGUCGCGGGGAGCAUCGACGCCCGGAGCAGACCUUCUGUGACGCAUCCGCGGUAGAGCAUGUAUGUUGGGACCCGAAA
rnacentral:rRNA from 1 species